rnacentral:rRNA from 1 species
ACCUGGAGAUAGCUGGUUCUCUCCGAAAUAGCUUUAGGGCUAGCCUCAAGUGAUGAUUAUUGGAGGUAGAGCACUGUUUGGACGAGGGGCCCCUCUCGGGUUACCGAAUUCAGACAAACUCCGAAUGCCAAUUAAUUUAACUUGGGAGUCAGAACAUGGGUGAUAAGGUCCGUGUUCGAAAGGGAAACAGCCCAGACCACCAGCUAAGGUCCCAAAAUAUAUGUUAAGUGGAAAAGGAUGUGGCGUUGCCCAGACAACUAGGAUGUUGGCUUAGAAGCAGCCAUCAUUUAAAGAGUGCGUAAUAGCUCACUAGUCGAGUGACACUGCGCCGAAAAUGUACCGGGGCUAAACAUAUUACCGAAGCUGUGGAUUGUCCUUUGGACAAUGGUAGGAGAGCGUU